rnacentral:rRNA from 1 species
AUUGAACGCUGGCGGCAUGCCUUACACAUGCAAGUCGAACGGCAGCAUGGGUGCUUGCACCUGAUGGCGAGUGGCGAACGGGUGAGUAAUGCAUCGGAACGUACCCGGAAGUGGGGGAUAACGUAGCGAAAGUUACGCUAAUACCGCAUAUUCUGUGAGCAGGAAAGCGGGGGAUCGCAAGACCUCGCGCUUUCGGAGCGGCCGAUGUCGGAUUAGCUAGUUGGCGGGGUAAAGGCCCACCAAGGCAACGAUCCGUAGCGGGUCUGAGAGGAUGAUCCGCCACACUGGGACUGAGACACGGCCCAGACUCCUACGGGAGGCAGCAGUGGGGAAUUUUGGACAAUGGGGGCAACCCUGAUCCAGCCAUGCCGCGUGAGUGAAGGAGGCCUCGGGUUGUAAGACGUCUUUCGGUCUGGGAAGAAGUACGCAUCUCCUAA